rnacentral:rRNA from 1 species
UACGUAGGGAGCAAGCGUUGUCCGGAAUCAUUGGGCGUAAAGCGCGCGUAGGCGGCCCCGUAAGUCCGCUGUGAAAGUCAAAGGCUCAACCUUUGAAUGUCAGUGGAUACUGCCGGGCUAGAGUCCGGAAGAGGCGAGUGGAAUUCCUGGUGUAGCGGUGGAAUGCGCAGAUAUCAGGAGGAACACCAACGGCGAAGGCAGCUCGCUAGGACGGUACUGACGCUAAGGCGCGAAAGCGUGGGGAGCAAACAGG